GCAUCGGGACGGGCCCGCGGCCCAUUAGCUUGUUGGUGAGGUAACGGCUCACCAAGGCGACGAUGGGUAGCUGGUCUGAGAGGACGAUCAGCCACACUGGGACUGAGACACGGCCCAGACUCCUACGGGAGGCAGCAGUGGGGAAUCUUGCGCAAUGCGCGAAAGCGUGACGCAGCAACGCCGCGUGGAGGAAGACGGUCCUCGGAUUGUAAACUCCUUUCAGUUGGGACGAAGCUCAACGGGUUAAUAGCCCGGUGGAGUGACGGUACCUUCAGAAGAAGCCCCGGCUAACUACGUGCCAGCAGCCGCGGUAAUACGUAGGGGGCUAGCGUUGUCCGGAAUCGUUGGGCGUAAAGCGCGUGUAGGCGGUCCGGUAAGUCCGCUGUGAAAGUCGGGGGCUCAACCCUCGAAUGCCGGUGGAUACUGUCGGGCUAGAGUGCGGAAGAGGCGAGUGGAAUUCCUGGUGUAGCGGUGAAAUGCGCAGAUAUCAGGAGGAACACCAAUUGCGAAGGCAGCUCGCUGGGACGUUACUGACGCUGAGACGCGAAAGCGUGGGGAGCAAACAGGAUUAGGUACCCUGGUAGUCCACGCUGUAAACGAUGGGCUCUAGGUGUGGGGGGUGUCGACUCCCUCCGUGCCGAAGCUAACGCAUUAAGUGCCCCGCCUGGGGAGUACGGCCGCAAGGCUAAAACUCAAAGGAAUUGACGG
rnacentral:rRNA from 1 species